rnacentral:rRNA from 1 species
CCCUUAGAUGUUCUGGGCCGCACACGCGCUACACUGAAGGAGGCAGCGUGUACUCCUGGAUCGAAAGAUUUGGGUAACCCGCGAAUCUCCUUCGUGCUAGGGAUUGAGGUUUGCAAUUAUCCUUCAUGAACGAGGAAUUCCCAGUAAGUGCAAGUCAUAAGCUUGCGCUGACUACGUCCCUGCCCUUUGUACACACCGCCCGUCGCUACUACCGAUUGAAUGAUUUAGUGAGGACUUCGGACUGGGACCGAUGCGGCUUUCGGGCUGCGUCGGUAUUCUGGAAAGAUGUCCAAACUGUAUCAUUUUGAGGAAGUAAAAGUCGUAACA